rnacentral:rRNA from 1 species
AGGGAAUCUUCGGCAAUGGGGGCAACCCUGACCGAGCAACGCCGCGUGAGUGAAGAAGGUUUUCGGAUCGUAAAGCUCUGUUGUAAGAGAAGAACGAGUGUGAGAGUGGAAAGUUCACACUGUGACGGUAACUUACCAGAAAGGGACGGCUAACUACGUGCCAGCAGCCGCGGUAAUACGUAGGUCCCGAGCGUUAUCCGGAUUUAUUGGGCGUAAAGCGAGCGCAGGCGGUUAGAUAAGUCUGAAGUUAAAGGCUGUGGCUUAACCAUAGUACGCUUUGGAAACUGUUUAACUUGAGUGCAGAAGGGGAGAGUGGAAUUCCAUGUGUAGCGGUGAAAUGCGUAGAUAUACGGAGGAACACCGGUGGCGAAAGCGGCUCUCUGGUCUGUAACUGACGCUGAGGCUCGAAAGCGUGGGGAGCAAACAGGAUUAGAUACCCUGGUAGUCCACGCCGUAAACGAUGAGUGCUAGGUGUUGGGUCCUUUCCGGGACUCAGUGCCGCAGCUAACGCAUUAAGCACUCCGCCUGGGGAGUACGACCGCAAGGUUG